rnacentral:rRNA from 2 species
AACGCUAGCUACAGGCUUAACACAUGCAAGUCGAGGGGCAGCAUAUUUUUAGCUUGCUAAGAAUGAUGGCGACCGGCGCACGGGUGAGUAACGCGUAUCCAACCUUCCCAUGGCUCAGGGAUAACCUUGCGAAAGUAAGCCUAAUACCUGAUAUCCUCUUUAGCAGGCAUCUAAAGAAGAGGAAAGAUUUAUCGGCGAUGGAUGGGGAUGCGUCCGAUUAGCUUGCCGGUGGGGUAAAGGCCCACCGGGGCGACGAUCGGUAGGGGUUCUGAGAGGAAGGUCCCCCACAUUGGAACUGAGACACGGUCCAAACUCCUACGGGAGGCAGCAGUGAGGAAUAUUGGUCAAUGGGCGAGAGCCUGAACCAGCCAAGUAGCGUGCAGGACGACGGCCCUAUGGGUUGUAAACUGCUUUUAUACGGGAAUAAAGUGAUGCCUGCGGGCGUUAUUGCAUGUACCGUACGAAUAAGGACCGGCUAAUUCCGUGCCAGCAGCCGCGGUAAUACGGAAGGUCCGGGCGUUAUCCGGAUUUAUUGGGUUUAAAGGGAGCGUAGGCUGUCCUUUAAGCGUGUUGUGAAAUGUAGGCGCUCAACGCCUGCACUGCAGCGCGAACUGAAGGACUUGAGUGUGCACGACGCUGGCGGAAUUCGUGGUGUAGCGGUGAAAUGCUUAGAUAUCACGAAGAACUCCGAUUG